rnacentral:pre_miRNA from 1 species
CGAAGAUGAUGAAGAUGACGAUGAUGAUGAAGACGAUGACGAACGUUUACGUGAUGAUGUAGUUGUUGUUUCAUCAUUAUCGUCAUCAUCAUCA